GUAGUUACAAAUUGUGCCCCCAAUUUUACAAUUUUUCUUUUUUUAAAUACUUUUAAAUAAUUUACUCUUUUUUCCCAAAUUCCUCUCCAUUAUUAAUUUAAAAAUUAAUCUCAAAUUUAUCAACUAUACAUUUCUCGAUUAAAUCUAAUUCAGAGAAAAAUAACAUUAAAAUUAUUGCCCACACUUUUAUUAUAAAUUUAUACGCUUCUGCUUGCACAUUCGAAAUGUGUGUUGCGAUUCCGCCGCGAAAUGUCAUAACUUUUGCAUUGAAAACAUUCACGUUGUCAUGGUUCGUUAUAGUAAAAUAAUUUCUAAAUUUGAAAAUACUAUACGGGAAGUUAAAUACGAAACAAUUAGUGUGAGAAAAAAAAUGGAAAAUAUUCAAUUUCAAUCAAGAAAUUUCGAUGAGUGAAAAAUGCCUCGUGUCACUGUAUAUGUGAUGACAAAGAUUCAAUUAACUUUUGAGAGAAAAGGAUGAAAAAAAGAAAUAAAUCUCGUGAUUUCGUAAAGAAACAACUUCAUAUGACAAUAACAACAGAAAAUAAAUAAAUAAACAACUAGGAAAAUUAACAACAGAAAAAAAUGCAAAAAUGGUUAUUAUUUAAAAUAUAAAAAAUGGAAUAAGUGAAAAAUAAAGAAGAGUGUAUUUUUUUAUUAUCACAAGAGGCAAGGUGUGAUGAGACAAAGAGAGUUUAUGUAUAAUAAGUCUUUCGAGAGUAAAACCGAUAUGAACAAUAAGAAUGUGAUAUGAUGGGGAAUAUGUUUGUGUACGUAUAGUAAAACCACAUUUCAGCGCAAGAAUACAGAGGAAAAUAUUUCAGGAGAGAAAUAUUUUUUUUUCGUAUGUACUUCUAAAAAUUCACGGUUGAAAAAGAUAAUUAUACUGAUGGUCAUUUUAAUCGUAAUAUUAAAGUGAAUAAUUGAGGAAAGAACGCGAAAAAUGAUUUGACGAUUCAUAAACGAUGAUUCAACAAAUAAAUUGAGAGGCAAUGGAAAAAAAUUGGACAAUCGCAAAAAAGGAGUGGUGUUUCAAGUCUCUGGAUAAAAUCUGGUGGUGGAGGUGCGAGAACGGCACGCGACACUUGCUGGCUAUGAACCCUAGAUAUAUACAUAUAUGCUUGUCCCAAGAGUGUAUUGCUCUUUGUAAAUGUAUACAUAAUGAGAGGUGGGCGCGAAUAAAGCAAAGAAAAUCUUGGGAGGAUUGAAUUGCGCCGUGGCAGCAGCCAUCGUCCUCGGUGACAGCGGCUCUUUGUAUGAGAAAGUCAGAAGGAAUCGUGAUACGUGUUGAUAGAAUCAAGAGAAGGGGGAGGAAAUUGGGAUUUUUGGAUUCGAAAAUUUUGAGAAUACUGGAUUGUCGAUUACAAUGGAAAGGAGAUAAAAAUAAAAUCUCGAAUUUAAAGCCUAAUUGAUUCGUUGUCACGAUUGUCAAAGGAAAUAAGUGUUGAACACUUACUUCAAGCACUAGGUCAGUGUCUGUACUUUCUCUCGCAAAUACACCAAACGAGAGCCAAGGUCCAUGCAGGAUAACCGGAAGAAAUGAAAAUUUACCUCAAGGUCUCGUCUUUAGAAAACAUCCCUAUUUGUUAAAAAUUCAACGAGCGAUACAAUUAGCAAAAAAAAGCGACAUAACCAGAAAUCAGCGGAAUUAUCAGAAUGAUAACCGACAAAAGGUGUUGCCAGAGCGUCUGCGACCUGUCCAAUUAAUAAAAUAACACCAGCCAUUAGAGGACUGAAGCCUAAAACUAGGUGAAAAUACAC